ACAUGCAAGUCGAACGAUGACUCCCAGUGCUGCUGGGAGACUUAUGGGUAAAGGGUGGAAUCGUGCCUUUCUAACCUGCCUUUUCCUCGGGAAUUUGCCUGAAACCUGAUACGCCCUUCGGAUAAAAGAUUUAUCCGCAAGGGAUCGGUUGGAAAGAGAUUUCGUACUUGGUGGGGUUCAGGGCUUAUCGCUUGUUGGUGAGGCUGGUCUGACAGGAGGAACGACGGGUUGCCGGCCUGACACGGUGAAAACUCCUACUGGAACUGACACUGGGCCCUAAUUCCUACUGGAGGCAAGCCUGAUCAAUAUUGGCAAUGGAGUGAUGCCUGACUUAGCGUUGUAAAGCUCUUUAUGACGGCCUUAUAAUGGCUGACCUCUUUCAAUAAGCCCCAAGCUAAAGUGACGCCACCUGCGCGGAAUACCGGCUAACUUCGUGCCGCUCGCAAUCACUGUACGUAAGGGGCGAGUAUUAUCACUUUUUAUUGGGAGGAGAAAGCUCGGAGCUCAUUUGUGGAAUUGGCUUCGAUACUGCGAGUCUUAACCCCGGAUCAGCUUGGGGGACCUGCAAACGAAAAGGUAAAAUUCGAAACUGUUCUUCCGAACGUAGCGGUGGAAUGCGCACAUAUGAUCAGAAACUCCCAUGGAGAAGGCAGAGCUCGGGGAUGAAACUGAAUUAGAUACCCUGAUACUUGACGAGCUAAACGAUUAAUGUACCCUGUUGGUCCGUGCGCUCUACGUUGGCCACUAUAAGUGUUUACCAUUCCGCCUGGCGAGUACGCAGCUAAGAUAUUAAGUGCCCG
rnacentral:rRNA from 1 species